AUUGAACGCUGGCGGCAGGCCUAACACAUGCAAGUCGAGCGGGGUUUUCGGACCUAGCGGCGGACGGGUGAGUAAUGCGUAGGAAGCUGCCCGAUAGAGGGGGAUACCAGUUGGAAACGACUGUUAAUACCGCAUAAUGUCUACGGACCAAAGUGUGGGCCCUUCGGGCCACAUGCUAUCGGAUGCGCCUACGUGGGAUU
rnacentral:rRNA from 1 species